CCUUAAAUAUGUAUAUAAUGACGAUUAAUAAUGAACUUUGAUGAUUAUCAAGAUUUUUAUGUGAUAUAUUUAAUAAGAUUACGUGAUCAAUUAAUGACGUUGAAGGGAUAGAUUUGACAUAUUGAUCACAGGCAUAUACAAUAAAUUACUACUUUUUAAAUGAUGUUUCGCAACCUUUAAGUGUUCAAAAUUAUUUAAUUGAAUCUUAGAGAGCAUGAAACCUUACUUAUAAAAUGAUAAAAAAAAUCUUUAUUACAUGCAAUGUAGGAAAAAUAUGGCUCAAUACCUCGUGUUUCUUUAUGCUUUGAUCAUCCUUCUCUCUCAAUUUAUUGUUGAAAAGGCAGAAAUAACCAACAUUCCUUGUGUUUCUGACGAAAGUUGUCCGCAGGUGAUAAAACCUCUAGUUAUAAAGUGUAUAGAUAAAUUUUGUGAGUACUUUAUGGAGGGUGAAUAUGAGGGGCCAUAAUCACAUAAUUGCAACUAGCAAGUCAAAUUCGAACAAUUGAGAAAGUUUGGGGGCUAAAAGUGCAUUUUACCCAUUAUUUAUAUCUCAUAAUGUUUUUUUUUUUUUUUUUUUCUUCUUCUAUAUUUUACUUUAAACUUCUAUAUUUUGCUUUAAAAUUUGAUUUAUGUUUCUAUGCCCUUUCAAUUUAAUUGUAUUUUUAUGCACUGCGUGGUUUUUUCCUUUACUGAGUUUUAUCCUAUUGAUUUUUCCUAUUUUGGAAUUUAAUCAGACAGUUAUUUGUAAUAUUUGUUCUUUUGGGGUUUGGCCUAGUAACCCCUAGUUUUUUUUUCCUUAAUUAUUAAUAAGAAUUUUCUUUGAGGUGUUAGAGAUACUUAUGAGGAGCAGGGUGCCAACCUAGAUAGGAUGUACUCUUGUCUUGUGAUGGCUCUGCACUUCUUUAAUAUAUAAAGAAAAAUGUAUUUGCAUGUCAAAAUAUUUGUGUAUCAUUAUAUUUGUAGAUCAGUAAUUUACUUCAAACGUGUAUUAUUAUAAUAUAUGACAAAUUUGACAA